rnacentral:rRNA from 1 species
GAGUUUGAUCGUGGCUCAGAUUGAACGCUGGCGGCAGGCCUAACACAUGCAAGUCGAGCGGAUGAAGGGAGCUUGCUCCUGGAUUCAGCGGCGGACGGGUGAGUAAUGCCUAGGAAUCUGCCUGGGUAGUGGGGGAGUAACGUCCGGAAACGGGCGCUAAUACCGCAUACGUCCUGAGGGAGAAAGUGGGGGAGUCUUCGGACCUCACGCUAUCAGAUGAGCCUAGGUCGGAUUAGCUAGUUGGUGGGGUAAGGCCUACCAAGGCGACGAUCCGUAACUGGUCUGAGAGGAUGAUCAGUCACACUGGAACUGAGACACGGUCCAGACUCCUACGGGAGGCAGCAGUGGGGAAUAUUGGACAAUGGGCGAAAGCCUGAUCCAGCCAUGCCGCGUGUGUGAAGAGGUUUUCGGAUUGUAAAGCACUUUAAAGUUGGGAGGAAGGGCAGUAAGUUAAUACCUUGCUGUUUUGACGUUACCAACAGAAUAAGCACC